GAUGAACGCUGGCGGCGUGCCUAAUACAUGCAAGUCGAGCGAACGGACGAGAAGCUUGCUUCUCUGAUGUUAGCGGCGGACGGGUGAGUAACACGUGGAUAACCUACCUAUAAGACUGGGAUAACUUCGGGAAACCGGAGCUAAUACCGGAUAAUAUUUUGAACCGCAUGGUUCAAAAGUGAGAGACGGUCUUGCUGUCACUUAUAGAUGGAUCCGCGCUGCAUUAGCUAGUUGGUAAGGUAACGGCUUACCAAGGCAACGAUGCAUAGCCGACCUGAGAGGGUGAUCGGCCACCCUGGAACUGAGACACGGUCCAGACUCCUACGGGAGGCAGCAGUAGGGAAUCUUCCGCAAUGGGCGAAAGCCUGACGGAGCAACGCCGCGUGAGUGAUGAAGGUCUUCGGAUCGUAAAACUCUGUUAUUAGGGAAGAACAUAUGUGUAAGUAACUGUGCACAUCUUGACGGUACCUAAUCAGAAAGCCACGGCUAACUACGCG
rnacentral:rRNA from 1 species